AGUGAACGCUGGCGGUAGGCCUAACACAUGCAAGUCGAACGGCAGCACAGUAAGAGCUUGCUCUUACGGGUGGCGAGUGGCGGACGGGUGAGGAAUACAUCGGAAUCUACUUUUUCGUGGGGGAUAACGUAGGGAAACUUACGCUAAUACCGCAUACGACCUACGGGUGAAAGCAGGGGAUCUUCGGACCUUGCGCGAUUGAAUGAGCCGAUGUCGGAUUAGCUAGUUGGCGGGGUAAAGGCCCACCAAGGCGACGAUCCGUAGCUGGUCUGAGAGGAUGAUCAGCAAAAAUGGAACUGAGACAAGGUCCAGACUCCUACGGGAGGCAGCAGUGGGGAAUAUUGGACAAUGGGCGCAAGCCUGAUCCAGCCAUACCGCGUGGGUGAAGAAGGCAUUCGGGUUGUAAAGCCCUUUUGUUGGGAAAGAAAAGCAGCAGGUUAAUACCCCGCUGUUCUGACGGUACCCAAAGAAUAAGCACCGGCUAACUUCGUG
rnacentral:rRNA from 1 species